CCCCUUAAACAGCUCAAGGUCUGGGUCCCAGGGCCUGACGGUGAGUAUGCCCAUAAGGCCCACCUAAAAGUCUACCUACAUGUUCCACCCAUGAGUUCGCUCACAGGGAGUGGAGUGUGUAGGGGAUGUGUUAUUGUAGAGGAUCUAAUGUGUGUGCUUAUGGUAUGUAGUGUAUAGGGAUACCAGUUUGUGUAGGUGAUGCAGUGUAUUUGUAGUGGAGGCAGUGUGUGUUUGUGUAUAAGCGAUGUAUUGUGUGAAUCUGUGUUUGUAUGCAUUAGGGAUGCAAGGUGUGUGUCUGUAGUGUGUGCAUUGAGUGUGUGUAUGAAAUGCAUUGUGUUUCUGUGUAUAUGUAAGAGAAGCAGUGUGUGUGUUUGCAUGUGUGUGUAAGGGUUUGCAUUGUGUGUUUCUGUGUAUGUGUGCAAAGGAUGCAUUGUCUUUGUGUGUAAUGGAUGCAUUGUGUGUUUCUCUGUGUGUAAGGGAAGCAUGUUGUGUUUCUGUGUGUGUAGGGAUGCAUUGUGUGUUUGUGUAUGUAUAGGGAUGCAUUGUGUGUGUGUGCACGUAGUGUGAAAGAGCUCCCUGUCCUGCCCCCUGUCCUAUAGAGCUCUCCCCUGCCCCUUAGUGGUCUCUCCCCCCCCCUUCCCUAGCAGUCACUUCUCACACCCACCCAC